rnacentral:lncRNA from 1 species
AUGCGCCAGACCUGUGAGUACUGUGGACGCCACUUCCGCUCCCUGGGUCGCCACUUGGAUAAACACCAUGCUCACCAACCAGAAGUGUGCUCUGCCCUGGUGGAGCGCUACACACAGAUGCCCCGUCUGCAUUCACAGAACCCUCCCACAGCUCACACACACACUCCGCAGCACUCAAAGUCCCCACAAGCCACGGGUCAGAGCCGCAGUUCAGAUCUUCCACAGAUUGGCGUCCAGGACCUCUCCAUGCCACCGCCCACUCUCGCAUCAGCUAACCAAUCCCCUGUGCUGACUCCUCCACGAGGACAGAGCGCAGUGCCGGUGUCUGUCCUAAAGAGAAGCCCACCCCCUGUGGCUCUGACACAGUCCAGGAAGGGGAGGAUAAAGACAGAAAGACAUGAGGAGGAGGGAGACGUUGUGGAGGAGGAAGAUGAAGACGAUGUGGAGGUCAUAGAGAUAAAGAGGCCCAAAGAAGAGGAGGACGAUGUUGAGGUGGUGUGCCCUCAGCCUUUCAGCAGCAACUUGGCCAAAGAGAUGGAGCCACCAAAAGAAGAGGAAGACGAGGAGGAGGAGGAGGAGGAGGAAGAGGAGGAGGAGGAGGAGAAUGGAGUGAUGGAGGUGGAAGAUGAUAGUGGGACAGAGGAUAAGGAAAAGGACUUGCUGAGUGGUUCGGGGCGUCACCACAUGCUGCCUCUCCUCUCGUCCUUGUCCUCUCUGGUGCUGUACCUCCGUCGGCUGCAGCACUCAGCCUUCUUGUCCCUGUCUCGACAGCUACAAUCAGCCGAGGCCUGGCGCCUUCUUUGCCACUCCAGCCUGGCUCUCCUCAUUCUGUACAACCGACGUCGGGAGUGUGAGGUCUCCAAGCUGUCCAUCGCCGAAUAUCGUGCCCGUAUAACUCCCCAGUGCCCCGUUCCUGUCCCGCCUGGUGCCCCUCCAGCUCUCACUCCGUUGGAGGCCUCCCUUUCACCCUUUGAGCGCCUGGUGCUUCCUCACCUCCCUAGAGUUGGCGUCCAGGGUAAACGUGGACGAGUCCAGCCCCUCAUCCUCCCCCCUCACUGCGAGCCCUGCCUGGAGCUCCUCCUGCAGACACGGCAGGAUGUGGGAGUUGACCCCGCAAACCCGUACGUCUUCGCCAGGCCUUACCACUCUCCUGCCACACCGCUGCGAGGUACAGACCUCCUGCGCAGCCUGGCCCGCUCAAGUGGUACCCGCAAUCCCCGCGCCCUGACCCAGACCAGGGUUCGCCGGCAGGUAGCUAUACUGACCCAGCUGCUGUUACUGGGAGAAGGAGAGGAGCCCGGGCAGCCUGGAGGCAGCGCUGUGGAGAGGCUGGAGCACUUCCUAGAGAGGGAGUACCAUGUGACACAGAACUGUGCUGGAAUUGGCCAAGACCCAGGCCUGAUGGGCAGAGUGGGCAGAGUGGUGCUUUGUGGAGAGAGAGAUGGAGUGCUGUUCAGAGGAAUGAGCCUGAACCACAUCUGCCUGGAACUGGAUGUUAUGUCAGGAAACUCUGCAGACUCAUACUCAGAGGGAGAGUCUGAAGGGGAGCAGAUGAAGGAGAAGCCUGAGAUGCCUGAUCCUGCUCCUGCUCCAGCUCUAGCUCCGAUCCCUACACCUACCCUGCUGUAUGUCAGGAAGGGCAAGAACAACGGGCGGGUGGGACGUCCCAAGAAGCUCAAGAACGCCCAGCAAACCGUUCCACCUUCACCUACCGCAAACCAUAGUAGAGGCUCUGGUCAGCCCAAAUCAGGAAAGCGAGGCGUCCUGAAGCGUCCCUGGUCAGAGGCGGAGCGUGCUGCGGUCGAGGAGCACCUUACCCAAAACAUCACCGAGCUUCGGGUCCCCGCAAAGGCUGACUGUGAGCGCUGCCUGCAGCAGUGCCCCCUGCUGGUCAGCAACCAUCGCGACUGGCGAGCGAUCAAGUUCUACUGCCACAAUCGCAUUCAGCUACUGAAGAAAAACCAGCGGCGUGAAUGUGAGCCCCUGGCCCUCACAGUCUGCUGAGGGGAGGGAGGGGGGGGGGGGGGGGGGGAUGUUAGGGGAAAAGAAAGGGCUGGGUGGGGGGCGGGGGUGUCUGGUAUCAGAGCAGAUUCUCAAAUGGUACCCUGCUUCCCAGGAAAUGCACUAAUUGUAAGAGGACGGUCCUAAAUUUCACUCUCCUUGUAGCGUGGUUUGUUUUUGACAUGGCUUCUAAUUUCACAUUUGAUGGCAUUAUUUUUUUUGAGCCAUACAAGAAAAUAAAUCUGAAUUAACUUUUUUGCUUUUUUUUCUGCUCUACUUUAAGGUCUUAAAAGUAUGACACUAGAGUCUUCAUGGUGCACCUGGUUUGAGGGUUACUGUGCGAGUCUUGUCAAAAGCAGGGCACUUGGACGGGUGCCGUUUGAGACGAUGGCACUGGCCGCAGCCUGUGUCAUGUUGUAUAUGGACUUUUUUUUCUUCUCUCCUUCCAAAACAGAUACACUAAACCGAAAUGUAAACAAGGGAGGCAGUCGAGCCCUGCAGUGUUGUUGAACGUCGUGAAGUAGCAUUAGUGUUUCAUGCACUUGGAGACGUUAAUAGGACAAAUGGCCUGUGCUUGGACCACACUUUUCUUAAUAGUGGCUUUCUAAUUAGAGUAGGCGUUACUACUGCUAACCCUGAAGACUAAUCAGAUCUUCUUUAUCACACAGCUGACUGUAAUUCUGACAAUGGUUUUAUUAUAUUUGGACCAUCAUUUACAUGUACUAGGUGAUAAGUUGCUCUUUUGCAGUUGUUAUGAAGUUUUUAUUUUAAGUGGAACACAAGAUAAUUGUGGGUUUAUUGAGAGAGACAAUUAAAUGGCCGCAGAAUGUUGUGAAGUUACUUUUGGAUACCUAAGAUGUUUAGUUGAACCACAAAGUCCAGAAACAUAACUGUUUGGAAACCCGUUGCGUUGGACUUAUUUUCCCCAGAUGUUCUCGUUUCCUUUUUUUUCUUUCGUCUUCUGCCUGUUGCACAUUUGUUAUUCAAAGCAGUAAAAAAAAAAAAAGGUGCUAUAGGCCAAUAAGCUGGAUAUCACUUUAUAUGUGGAGCGGAGAUUUCCCAUGGUUGUAUUAAAAGUUUCUUAAGAAGUGGGCAUUUAGCAGAGAAGUGAUUGUUCUGUUGCCACGUUUGUUGCAUCGUGUGUGUUGUCUUUUCAAACGGCUAGAGCUCCUCCUGUCCUGUCCCAGCCACACUACACGGUUAGCAGCUCGACUAGAUUUUUGAUUUCUCUUCGGUGUUGCUGAAAAUCUGCAUCCACCGGACUUAAAUCUCCAUGAAAGACAGAUACUUGAAGUUAUUUAAAGCUUUUGCAGAACCUUUUAUGUUCUUUCUUGCUCUAGCCUUGCCAGUUACAUUGUACAUAACAAAUAUAUUAUCAAUAUGCUAACUGGUUGUUUGUGCUAGACUAUAUGUAGCUUUGUUUUUGUUUUUCAUUUCUGAGUUAUUGCUAUCUGUAAAUAAGCCUGUUUGUAAAUACUCCUCAGAGAAACAAAGAAAAAACACAAUGUAUGACAUGCCUUGGUUAAUGUGUUAUGUUUUUUCUUUUUUUAUAAGUCUUAUAAAAAUGUAAAUCUCUGUUUUGUGCUGUGGUGCUUUCUUUCAAUGCCUUAUUUUCAUGAAACGUGAAAUGAUUCUCACUGUUGAGAACGUUGUAGUGAUUUAUAAUUUAUCACUUAAAUGUUUAGGAUUUAUGUUCCAGGAUAUUUGUUGACAAUAAUGGCCAGAAACACAGUAAUUACAGCGUUGUCUCCCACGUGCAGUUCACUGUUACACCACUAGAUGGAGGUGUUGGAUCAUAAACCAUAAACAGUUCUGAG